rnacentral:lncRNA from 1 species
CUUCACCACCACACGCACCCGCCCCGCGGGGUGGGGGCCGUCCGCGCUGACGCUUUUAACGGGGGCGUAAGUGACGCGCUUCGUCCCUUUGCUGUCAGCCGGGGGGGGCGCAUCCCGCGGGGGGGUGGCGGCGGCCGCGGUUGCGGCGGUGCCGCGGGACACCUCUCCCUGCUCGGGGGGUCCCCAGGACGGGGUGACCGCUCCCGCACCGGCGCUCAGCGACUUCUGCA